AGUAAUGUAGUUAAAUUAAUAUUAAUUUGUCAAAUUAAAGAUGGUAAGAUUCCUC
rnacentral:tRNA from 1 species